GGAGAGAUGGCUGAGUGGUCGAAAGCGCUUGCCUGCUAAGCAAGUAUCUUGGGAAACCGGGAUCGAGGGUUCGAAUCCCUCUCUCUCCGCCA
rnacentral:tRNA from 1 species